CACCCGCUAGUAGGGAUCUUGUCCAGUAGACAGGCGAUCAGGAGAGUAGGCAUGCUGAAACAGUGCAUGCAGGAACCUGUCUGUUAUUAUCCUGCGUUUAUUAAACAGCGUUGAAUUAUGAACGACUGCGGCUUUAAAUAAUAACCCGCAUAAAGGAAAUUAUUGGUAAGCAUCACUGAAUCCAGGGACAGAGAGAGAGAAAGGCACAUAACAGAAAGCAACCGGCGGGUCUGGCUCUCUGUGUCAGUGUGUGUGGGAAUGGCAGCUCCCCGACCGAUUAAAGGCAUCCUGAAAAACAAGAACAGCGGCAGAAACCUGAAAUCCUUGUCCGACGAGGCGCCGGCGGAGGUGACCGAGCAUGGUCCGGGACUCUCGGAGGAUGACCACCAAAAGAAAUCUGCCAAAUGGGAUGAGAUGAACAUCCUAGCGACAUAUCAUCCUCCAGACAAGGACUAUGGCCUGAUGAAGAUAGAUGAACCCAGCACACCUUAUAACAGGAUGGUUGGGGACGACGAUGAUGAGGGGACACUCAGUGACUCAGAAGGCCACGGCUGUGGGCUCGCGCCUGAUGACCUGGCCUCAAAGUUGGAGGAAGCUGAGGGGGCGGAGCCACGCUUCAUGAAAGAAGCGGAAGAGAGCAGCGAGGAGGAGGAAGAGGAGCUGACUCCACAAGUGCAAGCCAAAAAGAAGCAUUUUCAGAUGAUGAGGAAGAUGCACUAUGAUGAGGGCAUGAACAUAAGGCUGGCUCGCGAGCUCAUUGCUAAAGAACUAGAAGAAGAUGAUGACGAUGAAGAGAUGAGGGAUGACACAGAGGAUCCAAGGGACAACGCAGAGGAGACGGAGGAGAUCAGUGUAGACCCGCCACAGGAAGGGGUGGCAAACCGCAUGCUGCGGCUCUUUGACGGAUCCUGUGUGGCUCUUUGAUUCUGAAAUUUCCCACACCCCUUGAAGGCAGAAGCAGCGUAACGUGCAGCGCAGCUGAUUCCCUAGAGUCGUAGAUGACUUCUCCCACCGUCAGCGCCGUGGCAGAUCAAGAUUCAGCGAGAUCCGCCCAUCGGAUCUGUGACUGAAAGCAGAGACGUUAAGGCAAACACCGCUUCACCACCUGUCCAACAUCUCCCAGCAGCCAAUAAGAUUACCGGUCCCCUCCUUGUCUCCACUAUUCCCAUAAAACUGUGCAAUAUAACCUCUAUUUUUAAUUUUAAAAAUGGUUUUCAGCUCCAGGAAUAUAUCCGAAAUGCACACACGAAGGCUGUUGCUUGUCCCUCCUCCCUCUCCUGCUGCCAAGAAUGCCCUCCUCUCACCUCUCCUGGACUGAUGUCGUACUGAAGAAUCUAUGACUCAGACACUGAAAGGAGGAUCAAAGUCUUUUUAAAAAUAAGAAUAAAAAAUGACAAGAAAAACCUCACAACAUUGAGCUUAUUCUGGCUGAAACAGCUUGUUGGUUGUGGAAGAAGCCAGGGGGAAACCCCACGGCCUCUCUGAAGGGUUUUAUGUCACAUGAUGGAGUUUCCAGUGGCUGCAACUCGGAUCUUUUUCUUGUUUUCCUUUCUGAUCAAUCACACCGCUGCAUUUUAUUUCUACUGGCUGUAUGUCUUUAGGAAUAGUUAAAUUGCUAAAAUAACAAGGCUUCUCCACAUACAAUAUUGAAAUGACAUGAUUACUGGUUUGGGGAAUAUAUUAAUCCAAAUUGUGUUAUUAAAAUAACAGGUAUUUUUCAAGGAAGAACAUUUGACUCAUUCUUGAUUGUCCCACUUGGAUGCUCAUUUUUAGUUUCUCAUUUCCAGUUUACAAGCAUUUCUAAAUGUCACCAGACAUCUUGAGGUACAUUUUUCAUUCAAUGGAAUCCUUUUUCAUCCCUUCAAGAUAAUUUUGUUAAAGAAUAAGACAGGACAAGCUGCUCGGUCGUCCGUGUUUUCCUUCCUCUGUGUAAAAUCCACAGUAUUUUUGAUUGUAAAGUUGGCGAGAAGAGACUGUAUGGAAGUGCUGCUGCUGAACUUUGGUAUGUGCUACUGAUAGACCUGGCGAAUAGGUAUUAGAUGAACAGUCUGAGCUGUGCCAAGUUAUUUGAAGGAAAGUCAGAACAAUGUUGUUUAAUGUUUUUUUUUUAACCUGGCUUAAUCCAUGGUUUUAUUUUAUUUUUUACAAUGUUUGAUCUGCUUGCAUGACUCAGCUCAGGAUCAUCAUAGGGCAGGAGGAAAUGAUUGUAAUGCUACUGACUGAAGUCGGAGGACGUUGGAGACAAAUUAAACCACUACAGCUCAUUGGAGGUGUGUUGAGGACUUGAGUUCUCUUUCAAGGUUCAGCCAUGUGUCACUGAAUAGUCUUAAAAGGAAAAAGAAAGCCAGUCACUCCCGUGUUGACUGUAGGACUUUCCUGCAUACGCUGGGAACUCAGUUAAGUAUGGAGUAGAAAAAGCAUGCAGGAAUCAUGAGCAUGUCUUAUGUUAUCUCUUUAUUUUCCCCUUUGCCCUUUAACGCCCCACUGUGACCGGACACGUCGAGCUUUAUGUUGCGGAAAUACUGCAGGUCACAGCUGUUGGUACGACUCCUGCCAAAGUCUCUGUGCAUUUUUUUCCCCAUGUUUAAAAGCAAACCAACAAGUAUAGAGUUUGGCAAAUGGAAUGAGUAUCUGAGCAAAGAAACAGAGAUUUUUGACAAUACGGCUGUUUUAAUUUGUAAACUUGUGGAAAAAGUGUGACUCUAGAGAAGCAGAGAUGAUACUUUUUCUCAUUUUAGACAAAACACAAUGGACAUGAAUCAUCCUGUAGGUGGUUGUGACCUGACAAAUGUGCCUCUAAUGACUUAAUAUACUUGUGUGUUUAGUGAACAAGCUCCGUGAUACUUUUUGCCUCUUUUUUUCUGUUUUUGUUUUGCAUUACACCUGCUCUGUUGUGUUUUCUAAGGUGGGUAGAUGUUUAUGCAGUCCUCUGAUCUAGAGAUGCACCGAUCAGAUGUUUUCUGGCAAGUUUCCAGGUUUUUUAAAUUUUAUUUAUUUAUUUUUUUUUAGAUCUGACUUGCCAAUUUCAAUUAUUUUCCCCAGGGAUUAUAAAACGUGUUCUGCAAGUUGUUUGACAAAGUUUGUGAUAAAUAAAGAAAUUUCAAGACUAUCCCCAUUUACAUUUGCUAUACAUCAAAGCAAAUGUCUCAAACCUUUAUCUGAUUUUUAAUAAAUCAGCUGCUUCAAAGUACUUGAUAUUAGUUGAUGCAUUUAUGGACCUAAAAUGGUGGGACUUAGUUAUGGUGCAUUUAAUAAUUUGAAAAUUAAAAAAAGAAAACAAAAUGUAUUAAUUGGUUAUUGGUGUUUCUCUACUUAUGGCCAUCAUAUGUCUCAAAAAUGUUCUCUUAUAAUUUUCUGUCUGCAUGUUCUUACUCAUCAAGUUGUGUAUAUUGUUUUGUUUCUUUCCAGUCAUUAAACAAACAUUGUUAGAA